AUUCUCCGAGCCUCCGAUGCGCCAGGGGGCGCUGUAGAUGACCUAUUGGGACACGGGCUUCAGUCCCCCGCGCCACCCGCGCGAUGGGCUCCGAGGUGGCUCAGCUGCUGGAGGCUGCUGACUUCGCCGCUCGCAAACACCGGCAGCAGCGACGGAAAGAUCCCGAAGGGACUCCCUACAUCAACCACCCCAUCGGUGUGGCCCGGAUCCUAACCCACGAGGCGGGAAUCACUGACAUUGUGGUGUUACAGGCGGCCCUGCUCCACGACACAGUAGAAGACACAGACACUACCCUGGAUGAGGUAGAGCUGCACUUCGGAGCCCAGGUUCGGCGCUUGGUGGAGGAAGUAACAGACGACAAGACUCUACCCAAACUGGAAAGAAAGAGGCAACAGGUGGAGCAGGCACCCCACAGCAGCCCAGGGGCCAAACUGGUGAAACUGGCAGACAAACUAUACAAUUUGAGAGACCUGAAUCGCUGCGCCCCUCAAGGUGCAUGUGGCCCUGCGCGCACAUCACUUCAGCGCCCAGACUGAAGAAACAGCUCUAUCUAUUGAGGACAGGACAGAAACCUGCACUUUCCAGAAGCAACUCUGCUGACGGGACAUUCUGAACAACGCUGCUCUAAGAAAUACUGGACUAGGGAACACCAGCAGGGCAGAUGGCCUGUGAGCCCAGUGUGGUAGCAGAGGCAGGAAGAUGACAGACCGACAGCAAACCUGGUUCUCCAUGGCAAGUCUGGGAUGCGCUGAAGACCCCGUCCCUAGACACUUUUGUGUGGCAUUAACUUUACUGCACAUCUAAGACCUCCAAAGAGUAUCCUUUAUUCUGCUAAUUUCCUAGGGGUUCACAGUCUCCCCUGUCAUUGGACUACAAACCAUAUACCAGCAAACAGCGGCUUCAUACUCUUUCCUAACGCGUUUCGGGACAGAAAUUCCCACCCACACCUGUCUUGAGCCCAGGCUCUAUGCUAAGCCCUUCCCAUGCAUCAUGGUUUUCUUCACCGAGACCUGACUAGGAACCCAGGCCUGAGCCUGGCUGCGUGCACUCUGGAGGACCUGUCACUACUGAAUCUUCGAGUGACCGCUGGGCAGACCCUAGUGAUGCUCUCUGAGGAGCCGAGCAAGCUUUUCUCCUGCAGUGCCUACCUGCUGUAGAUGCUUGCCCACCUGCACAGGAAGGCAAUAAUUCUGCAGAUGGAACAAAGAUGAACCUUCUCAACCUGCCACUGGACCCAGCAUGGGGUGCCUUUUCAAGAUACCCAAGCACAGGGGUCUUGGCAGCUCUGUUUCCUUUCUAGGGAAAGGAACUUUCCAGAACCCCAUGACAGGAACUUGUAGAGAGCAGUGUGUGAGAUGAAGCAGCAGGGAGGAUGGGAGAUACUUCUCACCCCUGCCACCAACCAGCACAUCACCAGACGACAAGCGCAGGGCA